rnacentral:rRNA from 1 species
GACGAACGCUGGCGGCGUGCUUAACACAUGCAAGUCGAACGGUAAGGCCCUUCGGGGUGCACGAGUGGCGAACGGGUGAGUAACACGUGGGUGAUCUGCCCUGCACUUCGGGAUAAGCCUGGGAAACUGGGUCUAAUACCGGAUAGGACCACUUCCUGCAUGGGUGGUGGUGGAAAGCUUUUGCGGUGUGGGAUGGGCCCGCGGCCUAUCAGCUUGUGGGUGGGGUAAUGGCGUACCAAGGCGACGACGGGUAGCCGGCCUGCGAGGGUGACCGGCCACACUGAGACGGAGAUACGGCCCAGACUCCUACGGGAGGCAGCAGUGGGGAAUAUUGCACAAUGGGCGCAAGCCUGAUGCAGCGACGCCGCGUGAGGGAUGACGGCCUUCGGGUUGUAAACCUCUUUCAGCACCGACGAAGCGCAAGUGACGGUAGGUGCAGAAGAAGGACCGGCCAACUACGUGCCAGCAGCCGCCGUAA